GAUGAACGCUGGCGGCGUGCCUAAUACAUGCAAGUCGAACGCUGGAAAUCUAGCUUGCUAGAUUGAAGGAGUGGCGAACGGGUGAGUAAUACAUAAGCAACCUACCCACGAAGACUGGGAUAAUCUCUGGAAACGGGGACUAAUACCGGAUAGGUAAUCGGAAGGCAUCUUCUGAUUAUUAAAGGUUAAAAACACUGGUGGAUGGGCUUAUGGCGCAUUAGUUAGUUGGUGAGGUAACGGCCCACCAAGACGAUGAUGCGUAGCCGGCCUGAGAGGGUGAACGGCCACAUUGGGACUGAGACACGGCCCAGACUCCUACAGGAGGCAGCAGUAGGGAAUUUUCGGCAAUGGGGGAAACCCUGACCGAGCAACGCCGCGUGAGUGAUGACGGCCUUCGGGUUGUAAAGCUCUGUUGUAAGGGAAGAACGGUAGAUAGAGAAUAUCUAAAUGACGGUACCUUACCAGAAAGCCACGGCUAACUACGUG
rnacentral:rRNA from 1 species